rnacentral:rRNA from 1 species
GCAGAGCAUCCUACGGGAGGCAGGCAGUGGGGAAUAGUUGCACAAUGGGCGCAAGCCUGAUGCAGCCAUGCCGCGUGUAUGAAGAAGGCCUUCGGGUUGUAAAGUACUUUCAGCAGUGAGGAAGGUGGAUAUGUUAAUAGCAUAUUCAUUUGACGUUAGCUGCAGAAGAAGCACCGGCUAACUCCGUGCCAGCAGCCGCGGUAAUACGGAGGGUGCGAGCGUUAAUCGGAAUUACUGGGCGUAAAGCGCAUGCAGGUGGUUUGUUAAGUCAGAUGUGAAAGCCCGGGGCUCAACCUCGGAAUUGCAUUUGAAACUGGCAAACUAGAGUACUGUAGAGGGGGUAGAAUUUCAGGUGUAGCGGUGAAAUGCGUAGAGAUCUGAAGGAAUACCGGUGGCGAAGGCGGCCCCCUGGACAGAUACUGACACUCAGAUGCGAAAGCGUGGGGAGCAAACAGGAUUAGAUACCCUGGUAG